AAAAGACCUCAUUGGAGCUCAAAGAUCAACAUCAUUCUAUUAUCUCUGGCUAUUUAAUUGCCUAUGGAGAGAUGGGAAGAGGCCAUGAUAUAUAUUGAUGAGGACCUUUCACCAACAUUCAAAAGCUCACUGUGCUCAAAAGAGGACCGUGAAAUAAGGUUUCUCAGGUACCAAACAAGCAAAAAGGAAACGACUCCUCUGCCCUGUCGUUUCGUGGUCCCUUAAUAAAGGAGAGGAAGUGCUAGUUAUUACUACUUCUACUACUACAACUACUACUACUACGGGUCUCGACGCUCGUGGAUGAUGAGUCAGCGACCAAUAUCGUCUCUCCUUACCUAGCUGGCUCGGUCACGGAAGCCAAAAGCGAAAGAUCACAGCCCUUGUUUUGUUUCCCCUUGUCUCGACACGGGAUAAUUCAAAAGCGAAACCGAUACACUAAUCGCUGUUAAUAUACAAAGACAAAGUUAAACUUCUUUCUUGGCAAUACCAAUUGGAGUUUCGAUCUUGUAUGAGCAUGAGGCAGUUGCUUUACCCCGGAGAAAACAGUAUGGAGUCAUCUUCUCCUCGACCGGUGGAUUAGGGGAACAUGCAACUUUUGAUGCGGUAAUUGGCAGGUGCGACUCGACGAAAGCUAGCUAGCCCGGCAAUGGUCCCCUCCGGCCCCGGCCGGCCGGAGCCCGCUCCACAUUAUUGUAAGAGCGUGCGCAGAGUGCUACACCCUCGGUCUCUCCCCUUAUCCUUUCAAUUCACAUCACAUACAAACACAGAGGACUCUGACAGCAGGUGGUCAGGUCAUCUUCGCGGACUUUUACUCUUUCAGUGAUUCAUCAGUCUAUCCAUUAUCAUAAGUUGGCUGAGACAUAUGCAAAGAUCGUAUCAUAAAUUGUCGAAAAGGACCAUCCCGAACCGUCUCGACCACGGUGAUGAAAUACUUUUACGUGUGAGUUGGUUAUAAAUUUAUGCAAGUUUGAGAGAUUUUAUGGUCCUGACCUCGAACAGUUGGAUAUGCCCUGGGCCAACCCCCCAGCAUAAGAUUUGACGGCCUAGAGGUCCAAGAGACCGUCCAGAGGAUGAGACCGAAUGAUUUUUCGUCGAGCUCAUGUGAUAAUUUAUCAUCUAUAUUAUUCAUCCUUCCCACGUAAAA